UACGAGAGGCCCAAACGUUAUUCGGAAUUACUGGGCUUAAAGAGUUCGUAGGCGGCGCGGUAAGUAGGGUGUGAAAGCCCUCGGCUCAACCGAGGAAUUGCGCUCUAAACUACCGUGCUUGAGGAAGCUAGAGGUGAGCGGAACUGAUGGUGGAGCGGUGAAAUGCGUUGAUAUCAUCAGGAACACCGGAGGCGAAGGCGGCUCACUGGGGCUUUUCUGGACG
rnacentral:rRNA from 1 species